AAGAAGCUACUAUCCCCACUACUGAUUUUCAUACGGAACUAAGGUGGCGUGUGGUUUGUUUCCGUGAAGUAGACGAUUGCUUCCUUCUGUCUGCUGCGUAAACCGAUACUCAGAUUUUCUGAUUCAUUACAAAUGCAAGGAAAUGCGUUUCAUCAUGUUCACAAAAAGAAGCCAUGGUAACACGUUCUGGUAUUUUAAUAUUUUCGAUGAAUGAUUCUAUGGUAAAAAUGAGCAAGUACGUAUGUAGUUAUACUAAUGGUCUUAAGAAUAAAUUUCAUAAUUAUUUAAAAGAUAUAAUGUACACUGAGUACAACAAACUAAUAUUUGUGUACAUUCAUUCAAACAUUAUAUACUUUGUAGCACGCAUUAAAUAUAAAAUAAUAUCGAUUUAAUAUUUAAACACAGUUAAGUUUUGAUCAUAGGGUCGUAGACUACAUUUAAUAACAACAAAAACAAACGUUCGACCGACCUCGACAUUUAUUGAUUCAGUCUUCUCUCGUAUUCCGUCGAGGAAACAUCGAAACUUUUUCUUCCCGAUCGUCUAAGAUUAAACAAUUAAUACUUUCGAUAAUUUCAUAAUUGUUUAAAAGAUAUAUAAUGUACACCGAGUACAACAAACUAAUAUUUAAACAAUAGUGUAUAUUCGUUCAAACAUUAUAUAUCUUGUAGCACGCAUUAAAUAUAAAAUAAUAUCGAUUUAAUAUUUAACCAUAGUUAAAUUUUGAUCGUAGGGUCGUAGACUACAUUUAAUAUCAACAAAAACAAACGUUCGACCGACUUCGACAUUUAUUGAUUCAGUCUUCUUUCGUAUUCCGUGGAGGAAACAUCGAAACUUUUUCUUUCCGAUCGUCUAAGAUUAAAUAAUACUUUCGAUAAUUUUAUAAUUGUUUAAAAGAUAUAUAAUGUACACCGAGUACAACAAACUAAUAUUUAAACAAUAGUGUACAUUCGCUAAAACAUUACAUAACUUAUAAUAUACGUUAAAUAUAAAAUAAUUUCAAUUUAGAAUUGGAGGAAUUCAUUGAAAAAUUCUAAUUUUUGUAUUAUUUUUAUUUAUUCUUGUACGUUCUUACUAAUUGUUAUUUACGAUUUUCAGUUUAAAUACUACAUUUUCUAUUGUAUUCGUGCUCGUCAUCAUAUCUACGUAUUUCAACAUUCAAGAUAUUCAUCAGCAAUUUUCUUUCGACUGUUGUUGUUGUUAGUUUUUAUAUAUAUAUGUUAUAUUGUAUGUUAUAUAUCUCAUCGUAAGUAUUAUCGAGCUAAUGGCUGUUUAAAUACGCUUUUGUAUUUAUAAUAAGUUAAAUAGUAUAAGUUUAACUAGAACUAAAAAAUAUAACAUUUGUACAAUUAAUCUAUUUUCAGAGAAAUAUUAUCUGUCGUAUGGUUUUUUCUUUUAUCAGAUAAGUACUAUUUUUAAUAUAUAUAAAAAUUCCUACUAUACACUAACUCGAUUUUAGGUUAUACGUGAGGGAAGUAUAACCUAACAAGUUUAUAUACCGAUGUAAUAGGCAUAUAGUGGGGACAGUGUUUCUCUAUUGCGUUUGUAGUUCAUAUUUUGUCCAUACUUGUCGCUGAAGUCGUAUAUGCUACGAGCAAUAGAUGAUGAUUUCAUUGACGAUGCGAAAUAAAAUGAUGCCAAAUAAACUAUUUAAUGAGAUAUAUGAAAGGAUGAAUAUAAGAAUAACAAUUAAUGUGUAUUAACAAAGUUUCGAUAUUUUAACUUUUCAACUUAAUAUUAUCCGGAUCUUUUUUCGCAAUAGUACUUCAAUCGUUUUAAUGACAAAUAUAUUCUUCGAGAUAAAAAUAAUAAGAUUAAUAAGAAGCAUCUAAUAAAAAUGAUUUUGUUAUUUAAAAAGACAUUGGAAUGACUAAAAUUAAACAGAUACAAGAUCAAUGAUUGAUCUUCUUCAAAGAUUGUAUAAAUAUAUAUAAAAGAUUAAUUAUUAAAGAAAGUUCGCAAUGGAUGAAAGGAGAGUAGCAGAUUAUUUUGUUGUUGCUGGUUUACCUGGCCAUAAUGAUGACCUUAUAGGAGAAAAUGAAGUUAAUGAAGAAUUAGAAGAUUGGUGUCAAGAGGGAACACAUUUGAAAGAUAUACAUAUGCAACCUCCUAUCACAGAUCUUGCUGUAAUUUUUCCAGCUUUGGGUGAACAUUGUCCUGAAGGCUAUACAUUGUUAGAAUAUACUGUAUCAGGCUUCCCAGCUGAUUUAAAUCAUGGCAGCUUACGAACAAAUGAAUGUUAUUUAUGCUAUAGGAGAGGUCGGGAUAAACCACCAUUAGUUGAUAUUGGUGUAAUAUAUGAAGGGAAAGAGCGCAUAAUGCAGGAUGCACAAAUGGUACUAGAAACUCCCAAAGGGCAUGUAGCAAAUGUAAACAAUUCUACUUCAAAAAUUUUUGUAACAUAUAGACGGGCCAGUCAAAAGAUGCCUUGCAAUUCUCUUGUUGUUACUGAUAUAUGUGUUAUUUUGACAAACAAAGGGGAAAAUUCUCCACAUGCGUUUUGUGUCAUUAAUAAGAAUUUAAAUAAGGGGAUGUUAGGCAGUGAUGUAUUUUUAUGCUACAAGAAAUCCAUGAAUCGUGCUAACCUUAUAUCAUUCAAGCCAACAAUACUUUAUAAAUAUCCUACAACUGAUUAUAACAGUUUCGUUUUUCCAAAUUCUGUUGCCAUGUUUUGUUUACCUAUGGGUGCAACCAUAGAAUGUUGGCCAAAAAUGGCUUGUAAACCUAAGUCAUUAUUUUCAACAUUUGUCUUAACAGUCGCAGAUGCUGCACAAAAGAUAUAUGGCUCAGCAAUAACAUUUUAUGAAGAGUUUACAUUGCCACCAGAUGCUCUAAGCUGUAAAGGAAAUUUGGAUAUGAAAGAUAUUGAAGAAAAUACAAAAAAUAAUGCUGAUAGUAUUGAAUUAACGGAGGAGUUUCAUCAACCAAAAGCAAAAAUGUUCAGAAAAUAUGGAAUACUUAAGAAGCUUAAUAUAUCCCAAUGGGCAAAAUUACAAUUUACAGAUCCUAGCAGUCAGUCAUUAAAUAUCAGCAAGUCAAUAUGUAUAUUGUCACAUUGGCCAUUUUUUGAUACAUUUGAAAAAUUUCUAGUCUUUUUGCAUAGCAUGGUCAAUGGAAAACCUCAAAAUGUUUCAAUAGAAAAGUAUAUUUCUUAUUUUUUGUGUGAUAUACCUUUCCCAAGCCCACAAAGGUCAAGAAUUCUUGUGCAACUUAGCAGUAAAGAUAUGCUAAUCCUGACUCAGCCAGAAGAUUUAGUUUGGCCUAGAUCUGGUGCCAGUUUUAGACAAUUAUUAAUCAAUUUGGGUCCUGAUAAUUGCUUAUUGAUAUUGCUCCUAAUCUUAACAGAGCAAAAGAUAUUGGUUCAUUCAUUACGGCCUGAUGUGCUAACUUCAGUGAGUGAAGCUAUUGCAAUGAUUUUAUUUCCAUUUAAAUGGCAAUGUCCAUAUAUACCACUUUGCCCAUUAGGUUUAGCCGAGGUCUUGCAUGCACCAUUACCAUUUUUAAUUGGUGUUGACUCCAGGUUUUUUGAUCUAUAUGAUCCACCUUCUGAUGUUAAUUGUGUAAAUCUUGAUACAAAUAAUAUAGCAAUCUGUGAUGACAAAAAAUAUUUGAAUGUAAAAUUACUUCCGAAAAAGGCAGCUAGACAACUUCGAAAUUGUCUAGAACAUCUCUAUUCAAAAUUAAUAUCUCUUGGAAAGAUAUAUUCUUCUCAAAAAGAUCAAGAACAUGACGAUUUUAGUGUAGAUAAAGAAUUCCAACAAAAACAAAAAGAACAAGCUUUGGAACUUGAAAUACAAGAUGCUUUUUUAAAAUUCACUGCUACUAUUUUAAAAGGUUAUCGAUCUUUCCUGUUACCAAUUACAAAGGCUCCUACUGUAGGAUCAACUGAUCCAACAAGUUUAUUUAAUAUACAAGAAUUUUUAAGAAGUCGUGAUAAGGCACAUGCAAAAUUUUAUAGUAUGCUUGUUAGAACUCAAAUGUUCAUAAGAUUCAUAGAAGAAAGAAGUUUUGUAUCUGAUAUGGAUAUGGCUGGCCUAGCUUUUUUUGAUGAGUGUACUGAACGUGUGGAGGAAGAGAAUGUCACACUUUUGGAAUUAGAUGAAUCUCAACAUAGCGAACGUACAGUAUUCAUACCUCCUCCUGAAGCAGGACCAAACCAAGGACCUUUUAUAUAUAAAACGUUUAAAUUAAAUCCUGAAUUAAUGAGGCCUGAAAAAAAUUUUAAUUUAAGGAAUCCAGCUUUAAAUGCUUUUGGAAUUGUACCUGGAAGUCCUAUGGCACGUAGGACUAAGCAUGAAAUAAAAGUAGCUCAGAAAAUGGCGCGUAAACAGGCAGCAAUGCCUGAUAGAUGGGCUAGAUGUUUACUUGGAACGUGUUACAGUCUCUGGUUUUUACAUUUACCAGCGAUGUUGCAGGUUUCCAGUCAACCAGCCGCAAUUUUGCAUCAAGCAUAUGAAUUAUUAGUUCGAAUGCAAAAAUUACAUCUUGAUCCUAUGGAAGAAGUUUGUUAUAGAGCUAUGAUGCAACUUUGUGGAUUAUAUGGACAACCAUUAUUAGCUGUUAAGUUAUUAUUUCAUAUGAAACGUAGUGGUGUUCAACCAAAUGCGCUAACAUACGGAUUUUAUAACAAAGCUGUCCUUGAAGCAACAUGGCCUUCUGAUAUGACAAAUUCAAGUCAGUUAAUGUGGAAUAAAUUACGAAAUGUUAUCGUUGGUGCAGCUUUGUUUAAAAAGGCUGGCAGAAAAGGUGCCAGAAGAAGACUUAAUUCCAAUGUUGAUUUUUUAAAUACUGAUGGAAUAACCGAGGAAAUGGAACAUGCUCUUUCCAGAUCUAGUCUUGAUAGUAGUCACUCUCAAGAUACAGAAGCUGCUCAUAGUGACUCAACAAAAGGUAGCUCUGUGCCUGAUUUACCAGGAUAUGGAUCAUAUGAAUUGAAAGCAAAACUUCUUAGACAAAACAGUAUAGUAAAAGAUCAAGCGUUGCUGAAUAUGGUGCAAUCAGAGAAAUUAAAUCGCUCUUUUAGUAAUCCAAGAAUAGUACGCAGUACCGAAUCGCCCUUGAAGAGUCCUGUACGAACACCAGUUACUGAAAAUGAUCCAUUGGGAGCUCUAAUUAAUGAUGAAACGCCAGUUGUGUCACCUUCUGAGGAAAAUGACUCCAAUUGCUCAACUAGUACUUUAACAGUUUUAAAUAAUACUGUUGAAGAAAGACCAGGUGGACCACUUUUAUUUAGAAGUAAUAUUUUACCACGGAGUGCAACAUUUCAUCAAGCAGUAGAUGAAAGUAGUACAACAGUAAGUGGUAAUUUACAAAGGAGCGAAACGAUGCCUCAUUCAGUAGCACCACCAGGUGAGGAGAGAGAAAAAGAGAGACUGGAAAUAAGCAGUCUUUGGUCGCAAAAGGACAGUGUGACAUCUAGUUUAUCUAGCCUAGGAUCCAGUUUAAAACUUAGUUUUGGACGAUACUCAGCCAGCGGGUUAGCAUUUACUAAAAAUAAGGAAUUAAUAUUAUCAAAUCAGCUCAUCGAAUCUCUUAAUCUGUCCAGUUAUAUCAGUCCAUCAGGCUUGGCUGGAAAGAAAUCCAAUGAGAUAAUAUUGGGUGGCUUAAACAGUUUGAAAUCAGCUGCAACAAGUGUUGCCAAAAAAUUUGAUGAAAUAAAAGAAGCUAUAUCUGCAACAAGUACUCCCGUUAAACUUAAAGAACGCGAUCAAAAAUUAGGAUGUGGAGUUUCACACGAAUCAUUAGAUUCUUGUAUCGAUGGAUCCUUGCAAGAUCGAAAUGAAGUCUCUGCCAGAUUGUCUGGUGAUGGAGCUUUGGAUGUAUAUUUGUUAUAUGAACUUGGAGAAUGUUUAUAUCCCAAAGGUUCUAGAGAGUUAGAAGAACGUGCUGCUAUUGAAUUUGUACUUUCAAGCGCUAGUAGAUGUCAUAAUUGUGCUGCAAUACUUUAUGAUGAAGAGAUAAUGGCAGGCUGGCAACCAGAAGAUUCUAAUUUAAACACGGUUUGUCAGUAUUGUGACAAAGCCACAGUUCCGCUUCUUACGGUUACUAUAUUAGAUUACAGAUGUAAAACAAAUGAAAAAAGCAGCGAUCCUUUAAUGGGAGCUUUAGUCGAACUUUCGGAUAAGCCGAGAGAGCAACUGGAGCCAAUUACAAUACCGUAUCUAAAUCCAUUGGUUUUGAGAAAAGAAUUAGAAAGUGUAUUAAGUCAGGAAGGUGAUACAUGUUUAACUAGACAUAUAUUCAUUGAAGAACAUCCAAUAGUAUAUUGGAAUCUAAUAUGGUAUUUUGAAAGAAUUAAUUUAACAAGUCAUCUCUCUGACCUUUGGUUGCAUAAUGAUGCAAAUAAGCAACUACAAAGCAACUCUAAUUCUGUGAGUAUAAGAACAAUGUGGGAUAAUGAGAGAAUUCAUAUGGGUCGAUUGCCAAUGUAUCUCCAGUGGAAACUAAAUGCUACAGAAGACCGAACGUAAGGAUCGUUAUACUUUUUGUAUAUGAUAUUAGCAUGGCUUCUAAAAAUUAUAUAUUGAAUGUAAACGUACUGAGUUGGCAGCUUUCGUUAUAUUACGUGUGUACAAUUAUAGUAGAAAUAUGAGUUACACUUUUUUGAGAUAAAUAUGAAUUCGUUUUAUUAAACUCGUUUUAAAAAGUACUGAUUUAUAGCAUUUCUUUUUAGAUAAAUAAUUAUGUAUAAAAUGAAGAAUAUUGAUGUUUUUGCAGGGAUUAAAUGGUACUUAGAUAUUAUUUAACAAUUUUUUAGGGAUUAGAUAUUUCUAGGGAUUUAUAGAAUUAUAUAUAUAUAUAUAUAUAAUUUAUCAUGCAUACAACAUGCAACUAUACUGAGUAAACAAUUUAAUGUGUAUUAAUAAGCUCUUUAACUUUUACCAGGUUGUAUAUAAGAAGCAUACCAAAGUUUUAAUGAAAACGUGACUGUUUCUAUACAAGAGCAUUAAGUUGUAUUGUUCCAAGUGUGACACAUGACAUACAGAUCAAAUGUUUUUUGUAUAUUUUAUUUAAUAUUAUAUAUUUAUCACUUUGUAGAUAUCUGUCAAGAUGUUUUGUAUGUUAGAUUAAUUCUACUUAAAUACGGAAAAAUUAUUAUGCAUGAAAUUAAUAUUUGUACUGCUUAGAAAAACAUAAUUUAUGCUCUUGGUAUAUAAUCCAUACCACAUUAUGUAAACUUAAUUAUCAGAUAGGCACGUGAACUUGUGCACAUCAUUUCUUGUUAUUGUAGCAGCAUGGGCGUCUGUAGGAAUGUACCUUGAAAAUCAGUUAAAGAGAGGCUGUAUCUGCUUGGUUUAUGCAUUCAACACCUGCAGACGUCCAUGUAUCCAAACUGGGAUUCUAUACUAACUCUUUGGCGUCAAUUUAUUUGAAGGAAUAUAAAAUUAUGCUAGAAUAUUUUUCUUAUGUUCAC